AACGCGAAGAACCUUACCUGGGUUUGACAUCCCACGACCGGUCUAGAGAUAGACUUUCUGUAGCAAUACAGCGUGGAGACAGGUGCUGCAUGGCUGUCGUCAGCUCGUGUGGUGACAUGUUGGGUUAAGUCCCGCAACGAGCGCAACCCUUGUCUUUAGUUGCCAGCAUUGAGUUGGGCACUCUAAAGAGACUGCCGUGGUGAACACGGAGGAAGGUGGGGAUGACGUCAAGUCCUCAUGGCCUUUAUAUCCAGGGCGACACACGUGAUACAAUGGACGGUACAGAGGGAAGCGAAGGAGCGAUCUGGAGCCAAUCUCAAAAAGCCGUUCUCAGUUCGGAUUGGAGUCUGCAAUUCGACUCCAUGAAGUUGGAAUCGCUAGUAAUCGCGGAUCAGCACGCCGCGGUGAAUACGUUCCCGGGCCUUGUACACACCGCAUAC
rnacentral:rRNA from 1 species